CCGCCGCGCGACGCGCGACGGUGAGUACACGUAUGCAACCUGGCCGCCACAGGGGGAUAACCCGCGGAAACGCGGCCUAAUACCCCGUGACGCCACCGGAGGGCAUCCUCCGGUGGCCAAAGGAGCGAUCCGGUGGCGGAUGGGCAUGCGGCGCAUUAGCUAGACGGCGGGGUGACGGCCCACCGUGGCGACGAUGCGUAGGGGUUCUGAGAGGAAGGCCCCCCACACUGGGACUGAGACACGGCCCAGACUCCUACGGGAGGCAGCAG
rnacentral:rRNA from 1 species